rnacentral:lncRNA from 1 species
UUUUCAGCUCUGAUUGGCAUCCUUUGAGCAACGGAAUCGUAGAAGCAGGACGAUUUAUAACUGGGAAAGAAGGCUGCUGGCGUCAUGACUGCGGUGACGGAACCUGUGAACAGAAUGGUUGUGAAUGCCCCAGUGGUUUUCUACAGUUAUUUGGAAUCAAGAAUUGUCGUUGACUAAAUUUCUGAAUACCCUGUAAUAUCGCAAAAUACAUGCUGUUGGAAGAAA